UACGGAGGAUCCGAGCGUUAUCCGGAUUUAUUGGGUUUAAAGGGUGCGCAGGCGGGAAAUUAAGUCGGCGGUGAAAUUUUGCGGCUCAACCGUAAAAGUGCCUUCGAUACUGGUGGUCUUGAGUGUGGAUGAGGUAGGCGGAAUUUGUGGUGUAGCGGUGAAAUGCAUAGAUAUCACGAGGAACUCCGAUUGCUAAGGCAGCUUACUAAGCCAUAACUGACGCUCAAGCACGAAGGCGUGGGGAUCAAACAGGAUUAGAUACCCCGGUAGUCCCU
rnacentral:rRNA from 1 species